AGGGCUUGCCGAUCUUGUUCCCCUAGUAACCUCUGCGCACGGGGACAAUGGAGAGCUAGGCCAGGAUGAUGGCCCUGUGGAUGGCAGUGGCCACCUCCUUGGAGCACUUAACACCCAGACCGACGUGACCGUUGUAGUCCGCGAUGGCCACAAACGCCUUGAACCUGGUUCGCUGGCCGGCUCCGGUCUGCUUCUGCACCGGCAUAAUCUUCAAAACCUAGGCCUCGAGAGAGGCCCCCCAGGAAAAAAUCAAUGAUCUCAGAUUCCGUGAUGGGCAGGGAGAAGAGACAGAUCUCCUCCAGGGAAGUGAUCUUCAUGUCCUUGACCAGGCAGCCCAGCUUGCUGACGGGCAUCCACUCCUUAUCCUUGGCCUUGCCUCCGCGAGCUCCGUGGCUUCGGCCCCAGCCUGGUCCACGGCAGUGACCCCGGCCUCCGAUGCGACUGCCGAAACCUCCACAGAAGCCACCGUGGUUCCCCAGCCCAGGGCCCCCGGGGCCUCCGGGAUGCCCCCCCGCCCCGCCACCGCCGGCUGCACCGGCGUCAUCCGCCAUUUGGUGUUUUCUCGGAGAAGAAGCUACAUGUGGAAUAUAUUAACGCAACAAAUUGUGCGUACUUGCUAGACAUUAGGCAUGAUAGUAAGUGCUAGGGUUACAAAGUAUUGCUUUUUGGGGAACCCAUGGUUGUUGGGGAGAAACCAGAAGAUCAGUCAUCACAGUGCGGCAAGAUCAGACUUGUGGUUUGUUCAGGUUCUGGGAGCCGUCACUGCAGUGAGAAUGGACCCCACAAUGUCUCAUAAGGGGAUCUGCAAGGCAGCCCUAAAUUCCAAGCAGGACACGUAACUCCUCAAUGGACAAAUGGACACUGGACCCUGGUUGAAGGAACAUGUUGUUCUUAUGGUGGAGGGCAGAAACCCAAGAGGGCUGGAGCCAAUCCAUGAAAGAGGUUUAAUUGACUCAGAGUUCCAUAUGGCUGGGGAGGCCUUGCGAUCAUGCAGAUGGUGAAUGAGGAGCAAAAACACAUCUUACAUGGUGGCAGAACUCAGGCACGUGGCCACAUCUAACAGCAAGGGAGUCUGGAAAACACAGUUCAGCUGUGUGAAGGAUAUUUAUAAACAUUUAGCAAGAUCCAAAGGAAUGGACCAUAGCAUAGCCCUGUUUUCUUUAGACGCUGACUCCUGCUGUCCACCAGAUCCUCGUGGUGCAAUGACUGGUGUAGACUGGCUUGUUGAAGUCACUCUCUGGAUCUGAGCAACGUUGGCUGAGCCGUGAUGAAGUACUCCUAUCCAUCCACUAUGCUUCACAGUGGGAAUCUCUCCCUGUUCAUCACCACUGCCCUAGCAGCCGCAGGUUCAAGAGCUGCUGGGAUAUAGCAGUUAAGAGAUGAACCCUGCAGCCUGACUUCCUUUGCUAGAAUCCUGGCACUGUUACUUAUUCCUUGUAUGUCUCUAGCUGGAAUGAGAGACUGGAUGGCGUUGAAAUGAAAUGCUGGAGCCAUCCAUCCAUGUGCUUCCAGGGUGGCUUCCUGGCUGUGAGAACACAGUGACCCUGUGAGGCCGACAUGGACUCGGUUCUCCUGACAUAACAUGGCUGGAGGAGCUCCAGCUCUGGGAUGUUAUCUUGCUGUUUUACACUGGUGGUUCAGCCAGCCCAUGGGAAACUGAACUUGGGCUGGGAGACCUGGCAGCAAAUCCAAACUGAAAUAGGAAUCAGCACUUCGAGUUCAACUGUGAAACAAAUGUGGGCCCAAGGCCUAAAUGCCCGAAAGACAUAGGGAAGGGUUGAAGUGGAAUAAAGAAAGCUUUUGGUGACACUAUGGGAAGGGCUAUUGAGUAUCUUCUCAGGACAGUACAAAAUGUCAGAGGCACAGCAUAUUUCGAAACCUAUUUUUAAAGCUGCUUUAGAUUUUUUAACUUGAUGGAUAGAUAUAUUCAUUUUUUAAAAAAAGAAAUGGUGACCCUCUUAAGAGGCAAAGUACGAGCCUCAAGUGUUGUGGGAUGUAUCCAUCAUUGGUUACUAAGUUUUCCAAUGGCUCAGACACUCCCAGAAGCGAAGACUCCUAAGCCAAAGGAAGAUGAGAGCUGAAAGGAGCAUCGAGCUCAUCCAGUGCAGUGCUUCUCAGCUUGUGCCCACAUUGGAUUCACUUGGAAAUAUUUUAGAAAUACUGAUGCCUGGGCCCCAUUCCAGACCAAUUAAAUCAUACUAUCUGGGAGAGAUACCCAGAAAGUGGUAUGUUUUAACACCUCCUUAGGGAUUCUGCUGAUCAACCAAGGUUGAGAAGAAUCAAACUAGACUCAUUUUACAUAUGAAGAAAUAGAAACCCAGAUAUUGAGAUAAAAAAUGUUGCCCAAGUCACGUAGCUAGUGUCAAAACCUGACUCUUAAUCAAUGCCCUUAUGUCACACUAA
rnacentral:antisense_RNA from 1 species